rnacentral:rRNA from 1 species
UACAGAGGGGGCAAGCGUUGUUCGGAAUUACUGGGCGUAAAGGGCGCGUAGGCGGCCUGCUAAGUCGAACGUGAAAUCCCCGGGCUCAACCCGGGAACUGCGUCCGAUACUGGUAGGCUUGAAUCCGGGAGAGGGAUGCGGAAUUCCAGGUGUAGCGGUGAAAUGCGUAGAGAUCCGGAGGAACACCAGUGGCGAAGGCGACACGCUGGGCCGUACCUGACGCUAAAGCGCGACAGCACGGGGAGCAAACGGG